AGAGUUUGAUCCUGGCUCAGGACGAACGCUGGCGGCGUGCUUUAUACAUGCAAGUCAAGGAGAACGUUUUCUUCGGAAAACAAGUAAACUGGCGAACGGGUUAGUAACGCGUAGGUAACCUGCCCUUAUGACUGGGAUAACUCUGUGAAAACGGGGCUAAUACCGGAUAAUAUCUACUUUCUCUGGAAUUUAGAUCAAAGUAGGCUUCGGCUUACACAUUAGGAUGGGCCUGCGUCUGAUUAGCUUGUUGGUAAGGUAAUGGCUUACCAAGGCUACGAUCAGUAGGUGGUUCGAGAGGAUGAUCACCAACACUGGGACUGAGAUACGGCCCAGACUCCUACGGGAGGCAGCAGUGAGGAAUUUUGCGCAAUGAGCGAAAGCUUGACGCAGCAACGCCGCGUGAUCGAAGAAGCUCUGCGGAGUGUAAAGAUCUGUCAUAGGGGAAGAAAAAUUCCGUUAUUAACACCAUCGGAACGUGACGGUACCCUAUAAGAAAGCCCCGGCUAACUUCGUGCCAGCAGCCGCGGUAAUACGAGGGGGGCAAGCGUUGUCCGGAUUUAUUGGGCGUAAAGAGUUCGUAGGCGGGUUAGUCAGUCGAAAUUGAAAUCCCACGGCUUAACCGUGGACCCGGUUUCGAUACUGCUAAUCUUGAGUGAGACAGAGGUAAGCGGAAUUCCUGGUGUAGCGGUGAAAUGCGUAGAUAUCAGGAGGAACACCGAAGGCGAAGGCAGCUUACUGGGUCUAUACUGACGCUGAGGAACGAAAGCGUGGGGAGCAAACAGGAUUAGAGACCCUGGUAGUCCACGCCGUAAACGAUGAGUACUUGGUGGUGGAGGAUUCGACCCCUUCACUGUCGGAGCUAACGCGUUAAGUACUCCGCCUGGGAACUACGACCGCAAGGUUGAAACUCAAAGGAAUUGACGGGGACCCGCACAAGCGGUGGAUUAUGUGGUUUAAUUCGAUGCAACGCGAAGAACCUUACCUGGACUUGACAUGUUAGUGAAACUUUGGUGAAAGCCAAAGCCUCUGCGAGCUUGCUCAAGGACACUAUCACAGGUGAUGCAUGGCUGUCGUCAGCUCGUGUCGUGAGAUGUUCGGUUAAGUCCGAUAACGAGCGCAACCCCUAUCCUUAGUUGCCAGCACGUAAUGGUGGGGACUCUAGGGAAACUGCCCGGGAUAACCGGAAGGAAGGUGGGGUCGACGUCAAGUCAGUAUGUCCCUUACGUUCAGGGCUACACACGUAAUACAAUGGGGAGUACAGAGGGUAGCAAUACUGCGAAGUGGAGCCAAUCCCAAAAAACUUCCCCAAGUUCGGAUUGCAGUCUGCAACUCGACUGCAUGAAGCAGGAAUCGCUAGUAAUCGCGCAUCAGCAUGGCGCGGUGAAUACGUUCCCGGGUCUUGUACACACCGCCCGUCACGCCAUGGAAGCCGGUAGCACCCAAUGUCAGUGUCCUAACCUUCGGGGAGGAGCUGCUUAAGGUGAGAUUGGUAACUGGGGCGAAGUCGUAACAAGGUAGCCGUACCGGAAGGUGCGGCUG
rnacentral:rRNA from 1 species